UGGAACUGUCCAUACCCCUGCCCUGAC
rnacentral:piRNA from 1 species